GCUCGUAGUCGGAUUUUGGGCGCGUGUGAACUGUCAGCCUCUGGUUGGACGGUGCGCGCGUGCCUUUCUGCUUGGGAGCCCCAUGGUGGUUAAUUCUGCCGUGGUGGGUCACAGGCCGUUUACUUUGAAAAAAUUAGAGUGUUCAAAGCAGGCUGUUGCUUGAAUAGAUUAGCAUGGAAUAAUGGAAUAGGACCUUGGUGCUAUUUCGUUGGUUAUGGGACUGGGGUAAUGAUUAAUAGGGACAGUUGGGGCCGUUCAUAUUUCGUUGUCAGAGGUGAAAUUCUUGGAUUUACGAACGAUGAACUUGUGCGAAAGCAUUCGGCAAGGAUGUUUUCAUUGAUCAAGAACGAAAGUUAGGGGAUCGAAGACGAUUAGAUACCGUCGUAGUCUUAACCAUAAACUAUGCCAACUAGGGAUCAUUGAGUGUCAAUUUACGACCUCAUUGGCACCUUGUGAGAAAUCAAAGUUUUUGGGUUCCGGGGGGAGUAUGGUCGCAAGGCUGAAACUUAAAGGAAUUGACGGAAGGGCACCACCAGGAGUGGAGCCUGCGGCUUAAUUUGACUCAACACGGGGAAACUUACCAGGUCCAGACAUAGUCAGGAUGGACAGAUUGAAAGCUCUUUCUUGAUUCUAUGGGUGGUGGUGCAUGGCCGUUCUUAGUUGGUGGAGUGAUUUGUCUGG
rnacentral:rRNA from 1 species